rfam:Myotis lucifugus cont2.299, whole genome shotgun sequence.
GGCAGUUCUCAGGUGAUGCACCCUGGAAUCGGGCUCCCUCCUCUCUGGUUCCAGGUGUGUCACCCGAGAACCACA